UACGUAGGGGGCUAGCGUUGUCCGGAAUCAUUGGGCGUAAAGAGCGUGUAGGCGGCCCGGUAAGUCCGCUGUGAAAGUCGGGGGCUCAACCCUCGAAUGCCGGUGGAUACUGUCGGGCUAGAGUGCGGAAGAGGCGAGUGGAAUUCCUGGUGUAGCGGUGAAAUGCGUAGAUAUCGGGAGGAACACCAGUGGCGAAGGCGACUACCUGGCCUGUUUCUUGACGCUGAGGCGCGAAAGCUAGGGGAGCAAACGGG
rnacentral:rRNA from 1 species